rnacentral:rRNA from 1 species
AGUGAACGCUGGCGGCGUGCCUAAUACAUGCAAGUCGAACGGAGUGGCGCACGGGCGGGUAAUGUAUAGCUAAUCUGCCCUACACUAGAGGACAAUAGUUGGAAACGGCUGCUACUAAUCUAUAGUGUCGGAGGAGGCUAUAUUGUAUCAGCUAGUUGGUGAGGUAAUGGCUCACCAAGGCUAUGACGCAUACCUGGUCUGAGAGGAUGAUCAGUCACACUGGAACUGAGACACGGUCCAGACUCCUACGAGAGGCAGCAGUAGGGAAUAUUGCUCAAUGGGGGAAACCCUGAAGCAGCAACGCCGCGUGGAGGAUGACACUUGUCGGAGCGUAAACUCCGUUUGUUAGGGAAACGGUACCUAACGAAUAAGCACCGGCUAACUCCGUGCCAGCAGCCGCGGUAAUUC